CGGGUGAGGAACACAUGGGUACCUACCCUUGAGUGAGGGAUACCGGCGAGAAAUCGCCGACAAGCCCGCAUACGGUCUUUUUACGGAAGUGAGAGAGAAGAAAGUCGCGAGACGCUCGGGGAUGGGCCUGUGGCCGAUUAGCUAGCUGGUGGGGUAAGGGCUCACCAGGGCGACGAUCGGUAGCUGGUCUGAGAGGACGAUCAGCCACACUGGGAUUGAGAACGGCCCAG
rnacentral:rRNA from 1 species